GACGAACCGUGCGAACGUUGUUCGGAUUCACUGGGCUUAAAGGGCGCGUAGGCGGGCGGUCAAGUCGGGGGUGAAAUCUUUCAGCUUAACUGGAAAAGUGCCUCCGAUACUGAUCGCCUCGAGGGAGGUAGGGGCAUGUGGAACUUCCGGUGGAGCGGUGAAAUGCGUAGAUAUCGGAAGGAACGCCGGUGGCGAAAGCGACGUGCUGGACCUCUUCUGACGCUGAGGCGCGAAAGCUAGGGGAGCAAACAGG
rnacentral:rRNA from 1 species